rnacentral:misc_RNA from 1 species
GUUUGGUUUAACUGAUUUUUUUCUCUUCAAAACCGAACCGAACCGAAAUAACCGAAAAUUUUAUAAAUUAAAACCGAACCGAACCGAUUAACUUUUAAAACCGAACCGAUUGAACCAAAUUGACUCAAUUCAGUUCAGUUUUUGGUUCAGACAGAAAACUGCUCACCCCUAAACUGAACCUUCCAUGAUUAUUAAGCAUCAUCUUAGCCUUAACAGAAGUUUCACAAAAUCUUAAUGUCUCUUGUCUUGCUACAGCUGAUUAAGAAAUAUCAGCCAAAAUUUUGGCAGUCUCUUUUCUUCAGUUUGGUUGCAGGAUUCUGUUGUUGCAGUCUAACAAAGAGUUUUUGGGAGUUAACAAUUUCUUGAUGAAUAUAAAACAUAGUGACAUGAGACAAAAGUCCAGAGCAUGAUAUGCUGAAGUCUCAUCCACUGAUCAGACUAUGAUGUAGCAUCCUGAUUCAGACAUAAGUACAGACUGCACAGAAAUUGCACUAUAUCCACAAUUAAGAAUAUAACAAAAUUAACAACUCCAAACACAUUCAAGCUCACAUGCAAUACCCAUGAUUUUAAGAGAUUACAAUAUUACCAUAGCAAAUACAAUUACUGUAGAUAUUCCUUUCAAAAUCACCACAAGAGCACUUUCACGUACACAUGAUGGGUAGUCCACUUUGAAAGUAACCAACUAUUGUUUCACAACCUUGAGGAAAACAAGUUACAUUAAUUUACACUUGGAAGUCAACUUUGCAGCAAUAUUAAACCUUUUCUCUCAAAUUACUUCUAAAACACACCUAUCAUAUUAUGAUGGAUGAAUAUUUUGGCACUUCUAACGAACCCUUAGUAAUUGUUCACUCAAAGAGUUCAUGCCUUAGUUUAACAAAAUGUUUUUGAGGCUUCCUUCAUAUUGUCAUACAUUCAUGUUGCAGCUUGCACUGAUAUAAUUAACAAGCUAAUCGAAAGCUUGUGAAGAAUACUUCUAGAACUAUUAUCAGUAUUUCGAAAAGUUGCCUCUUUCACUGGAAUUUUUUUUUUAAUUACCAAAGAAAUUAAGAUAAACUGAAGGGCUAUAAAGUAAUUACAACAAUGACAUGACAAUAAGAGAUGCAAAUCACAAAUCAAAUAUCAUGAAUCAGAACAUUCAUUCAAAUGCAAUCUGAGGAUGACAAGACUGUGAAACACUUGAAUGCCAAAUGAAUUUCAAAAUUUUAAGAUAUGUAGAACCGAUCAAAUAAUCAAAGACAAUUUUUACCAACAUCUGAUAAUCUCAAAAAAAAGGGCAUAUAUCAAUUUAAAUAAACUUUCACCAUAAGGUCGCCUCGAACUCCAGCUUCU